rnacentral:tRNA from 1 species
GCCCUUAUAGCUCAGUUGGUAGAGCGGCUGAUUUGUAAUCAGUAGGUCGGGGGUUCAAGUCCCUCUGGGGGCUCCA